UACAGAGGUCUCAAGCGUUGUUCGGAUUCCUUGGGCGUAAAGGGUGCGUAGGUGGCGCCGUAAGUCGGGUGUGAAAUUUCGGAGCUUAACUCCGAAACUGCAUUCGAUACUGCGGUGCUUGAGGACUGGAGAGGAGACUGGAAUUCAUGGUGUAGCAGUGAAAUGCGUAGAGAUCAUGAGGAAGACCAGUGGCGAAGGCGGGUCUCUGGACAGUUCCUGACACUGAGGCACGAAGGCCAGGGGAGCAAACGGG
rnacentral:rRNA from 1 species